GUUUGAUCCUGGCUCAGGAUGAAUGCUGGCGGCGUGCCUAACACAUGCAAGUCGAACGGUAACAUGCUUCUCACUGUUUUCUCAAUAUCGAGUCUGGACGCGGGAAUUUUUCUUUAGAAAAAUUAGCCGCAUCUAUAUAAAAAGAAUGAGUGCUCCGGAUUGGAGUGAUCAAUCUAGAUAUCGAAGUUAUAUUGAGGGAAGAGUGAGAAGUGAUGACGAGUGGCGGACGGCUGAGUAACGCGUGGGAAUCUGCCCCAAAGUGAGGAAUAACUGCCCGAAAGGGUGGCUAAUACCGCAUAUGGUCUUCGGGUUAAAGGAUUUAUCCGCUUUGGGAGGAGCCUGCGUUAGAUUAGGUAGUUGGUAGGGUAAUGGCCUACCAAGCCUACGAUCUAUAGCUGGUCUGAGAGGAUGAUCAGCCAGACUGGGACUGAGACACGGCCCAGACUCCUACGGGAGGCAGCAGUGAGGAAUCUUCCACAAUGGGCGAAAGCCUGAUGGAGCAACGCCGCGUGAAGGAUGAAGGUCUUCGGAUUGUAAACUUCUUUUAUGAGUGAAGAAUAUGACGGUAACUCAUGAAUAAGCACCGGCUAACUACGUGCCAGCAGCCGCGGUCAUACGUAGGGUGCAAGCAUUAUCCGGAGUGACUGGGCGUAAAGAGUUGCGUAGGUGGUUUAUUAAGUGAAUAGUGAAAGCUGGAGGCUCAACCUUACAGACUAUUAUUCAAACUGGUAAACUCGAGAAUGGUAGAGGUAACUGGAAUUUCUUGUGUAGGAGUGAAAUCCGUAGAUAUAAGAAGGAACACCAAUGGCGUAGGCAGGUUACUGGACCAUUUCUGACACUAAGGCACGAAAGCGUGGGGAGCGAACCGGAUUAGAUACCCGGGUAGUCCACGCCGUAAACGAUGGAUACUAGCUGUUGGGGGUAUCGACCCCUCCAGUAGCGAAGCUAACGCGUUAAGUAUCCCGCCUGUGGAGUACGGCCGCAAGGCUAAAACAUAAAGGAAUUGACGGGGACCCGCACAAGCGGUGGAUCAUGUUCUUUAAUUCGAUGAUAAACGAAGAACCUUACCAGGACUUGACAUCCUUGGAAGCACUACGAAAGUAGAGUGUGCCUUUUGGAACCAAGUGACAGGUGUUGCAUGGCCGUCGUCAGCUCGUGUCGUGAGAUGUUUGGUUAAGUCCAUCAACGAGCGCAACCCUUAUUGUCUGUUGUAUUUUUCAGGCAAGACUGCCCCGGUAACGGGGAGGAAGGGGGGGAUGAUGUCAGGUCAGUAUUACCCUUACGUCCUGGGCUAGAAACGUGAUACAAUGGCCGGUACAAUGCGCAGCGAAGCCGCGAGGUGAAGCAAAUCGCAUCAAAGCCGGUCCCAGUUCGGAUUGGAGGCUGAAACUCGCCUCCAUGAAGUCGGAAUCGCUAGUAAUCGCAGAUCAGCAAGCUGCGGUGAAUACGUUCCCGGGUCUUGUACACACCGCCCGU
rnacentral:rRNA from 1 species